GGAGCACUUGUGGAUGCCUGGCUGUAUUUCCCAGGCUUAAAGGAAUUGCGUCGGAGGAGGGCGAUGAAAGAGAGAAGAAGGGAACCCAGGCGAAAAUAAAAGGAGAGGAGAAAUAAUAUAAGAAGGAAAAAAGAAGGAGAGUUGUGGGGGGGACUCCCGACCAGGCAGCGUGAUGCUGCAACGACGGGGGGCGGCUCGUCUCCAAAGCUGAUUAGGAGCCCAUUCAUCAGUCUAUUCAUCACGCUAUAGCAAUCCCCUUUUGAAAUCAAAUUGAGUCGCAUCAGUAUAGACCAGCUCCACAUAGCAGCAGCAGCAGCCCAGCAUCUAUAUAGUGAAAGAAUAGUCUAAUGUAUGCAGAUGUAUAAUAUGCAGACUGUGCAUAGCUGCGCUGCAGACUAGGAGGGUAUUAUAUUCAUCUAUCUCUCUCAGAUCUGUAGAGAGAUGCGAUAUCACGUAUUAAUAUACCUGUAAUACACAUCAACGGUCGAAGAGGAAAGAGAAAGCCAAAAGAUUUCAAGAGAAGAAUAAUAGAUUAUUCCCAUCAUAAUUUAUUUGAUUUUAAAAAUAUAAAAAAAAAGGGAAAGGCCUCAUGGAAAUCCCGAUUGUUAUUAGAGUCGCAGUGAUUUUUAUUUGAUUUUUUUUUUUUCAUUUGGAAGGAAGAAAUCAUGAUUGGGAAGAAGUUCAAGGGUGAUGCCGGAUUGUGUGUGUGGACUCUCUCUUUUUCGCUGCGUCAUUAUUGAUUUCGAUCUUGUCGGAGACUAUUAAAUCGUGAAGCCAGGCAGAAACUGCCUCGUGUGCAUUGCAGCACACGAACACAGUCGGACGCCCCAAGACUCGCUCGUAAGCUGCUUACAAAAUCGCGGUCGCGAAAAAAUAUAACCAAAAAAAAAUACCCAAAAAUAAAUCCAGAAAGAAAAUUGAGGGAAAAAGAGAAGAAGAAGAAGAAAUCUGAGACGAAAAUUGUUGGGUGGGUGGAAAUAGAAUGGGUGGUGAUGGAGGGAGGGGGGUCGGUUUCGUGAGUCGUUCGGGAGUCAGUUGGCCAUAUAGGAGAACCGAUAUAGAACGAAAAGGAAAUAAGACGAAGAAGAAGAAGAAAAAAAAGAGCAAAGAAGAAUUGGAUUAUGUACCGGCAAAACUGGAAGCUUAUAAAGACCUCCGGCGUAGACGAUGACUAUAUACGACGACUAUAUGGGCCCUGUUGGAUAUGGUCGAGAGAAGGCGAACGAAACAGGCAGGCGUGUUCGAGGGAACGUUGCCAAAAUUGGUAGAAAAGAGAGAUGAGAAGUGAGCUGAUGUGUAGAUCGUUGCUGGCCAUUUUUCUGGAAAAAUUCAGAGUGCGCCGAGCUGAGACGUUACUUCAAAUCAAGAGAAGGGAGGAAGUACAUAAAUCCAUAGAUAUAUGACAUCAAAUGGUGUACGCGGGCCCCCUUCGACUUUGGGUCGUUGUCUUCUUCUUUCUCUUCCAGCGAACGAA